rnacentral:rRNA from 1 species
UUGAGUAGUACUAGUUAUGUUCUUGAAACUUAAAAAAUUUGGCGGUAUUUUAGUCUAUUCAGAGGAACCUGUUCUAUAAUCGAUAAUCCACGAUGGACCUUUCUUAAGUUUGUAAUCAGUUUAUAUACCGUCGUUAUCAGAAUAUUUUAUAAGAAUAAUAAUUUUCUAUAAAUUUGAUUAAAUUUUAUAUCAGAUCAAGGUGUAGCUUAUACUUAAGUAGAAAUGGGUUACAAUAAAGUUAUUUAUAUGAAUAUAAUUAUGAAAAAUUUAUUGAAAGUGGAUUUGAUAGUAAAAUUAUAAAGAUUAAUAAUUUGAUUUUAGCUCUAAAAUAUGCACACAUCGCCCGUCGCUCUUAUUAUUAAGAUAAGAUAAGUCGUAACAUAGUAGAUGUACCGGAAGGUGUAUCUAGAAUGACAGUUUAAAGCUUAUUUAGUAAAGCAUUUCAUUUACAUUGAAAAGAUUUUUGUGCAAAUCAAUAUAAAUUGAGUAAUAUUUACUUAUUAAUAUUUUUUUAUUUUUACAUAAAUUAUUAAAAAUAAUUAUAAAAUUAAUUGUUUUAGUAUUGUAUAAAGAAUAAAUAAAAUUAAUAAUAGUUAAUUAGUAUCGUGAGAGAUUGUUGAAAUAUAUUGAAAAA